rnacentral:rRNA from 1 species
AUGUACGCCUCUCACACUCGCAGGCUUCUUCGCCGCGACAGGGGAGCCCGUGCCCAUGGCGGCGCCGCCAGGAGGCGCGCGUCGACGCCUCUGUUGUGCCUCAUCGGCGCCAUUCUCCUCGUCGCGAUCUCUCGCCACACCCUGCUCCCCAAGAUGCCAUUCCUGGGCUCCUUUUGGAGAGUUUCAUUGGCACCUGGUGGUUACAUUCCCACGCCCAAAUCUCACGGUGUGAAGUAUGAGCUGCACACGCUCCCUGUGGAUGCAAAGGCUGUGGCUGACGGUGACACGAUCACAGUGUAUGUUGACACGGCUGACCCUCGUGAGUCCGGCAACGUGCCCUGUGAAGUUCAGGAAGCCGCUGCAGAGCGAACCAAGGCGCGGGCGGCCAAGAACUAUGAGAAGGCUGACACGCUGCAGAAGAUUAUAGUGGAUGCUGGAUAUAGGCAAGUUCCUGGCUUGACAGGGGAACAGGUUCUCGCGAAGAAGUACCGGGUCAGGCUAAGAGGGAUUGAUGCACCGGAGAACUCGAUGCCUUAUGGUAGAGAGGCGAAAGAGGAGCUAGUGAAGCUGGUGCAGGGAAGAACGUUAAAGAUUUCCAUAUAUGAUACUGACCGGUAUGGUCGAUUAGUUGGAGAUGUUGACUGCAAUGGUGUGUUCGUGCAGGAACACAUGCUAAAGAAAGGUCUCACAUGGCACUACACUGCCUACGAUCAACGUCCAGAGCUUGCCGAGUGGGAGAAGCAGGCACAAGCGGGCGGGUUGGGCCUGUGGGCGCUGCCUAACCCCGAGAAGCCAUGGGAAUGGAGGAAGGAGAAGCGCACGAGGAAAUGGUGA